AUCCUGGCUCAGGAUGAACGCUGGCGGCGUGCUUAACACAUGCAAGUCGAACGAAGCAUUUAGAACAGAUUACUUCGGUUUGAAGUUCUUUAUGACUGAGUGGCGGACGGGUGAGUAACGCGUGGGUAACCUGCCUUGUACUGGGGGAUAGCAGCUGGAAACGGCUGGUAAUACCGCAUAAGCGCACAAUGUUGCAUGACAUGGUGUGAAAAACUACCGGUGGUAUAAGAUGGACCCGCCGU
rnacentral:rRNA from 1 species